rnacentral:rRNA from 1 species
CCUACGGGAGGCAGCAGCCGCGGUAAUACGGAGGAUCCGAGCGUUAUCCGGAUUUAUUGGGUUUAAAGGGAGCGUAGGUGGAUUGUUAAGUCAGUUGUGAACGUUUGCGGCUCAACCGUAAAAUUGCAGUUGAAACUGGCAGUCUUGAGUACAGUAGAGGUGGGCGGAAUUCGUGGUGUAGCGGUGAAAUGCUUAGAUAUCACGAAGAACUCCGAUUGCGAAGGCAGCUCACUGGACUGCAACUGACACUGAGGCUCGAAAGUGUGGGUAUCAAACAGGAUUAGAAACCCUGGUAGUCCCUAGAU